AUUGAACGCUGGCGGCAGGCCUAACACAUGCAAGUCGAACGAGUGGCGGACGGGUGAGUAAUGUAUGGGAAACUGCAUGAUGGAGGGGGAUAACUAAUGGAAACGGUAGCUAAUACCGCAUACCAUCAGAUGUGCCCCGAUGGGAUUAGCUAGUUGGUGGGGUAACGGCUCACCAAGGCGACGAUCCAUAGCUGGUCUGAGAGGAUGACCAGCCACUCUGGAACUGAGACACUGACCAGACUCCUACGGGAGGCAGCAGUGGGGAAUAUUGCACAAUGGGCGCAAGCCUGAUGCAGCCAGGCCGCGUGUAUGAUGAAGUCCUUCGGGUUGUAAAGUACUUUCAGCGGGGAGGCGUUACCCGCAGAAGAAGCACCGGCUAACGCCGUGCCAGCAGCCGCGGUAAUUC
rnacentral:rRNA from 1 species